CUGAAUGGGGCAACCCACUUGAUAUUCUGUUAUUGUUAUCUUCGGAUAGUCAAUAAUAGGGUAAACCAAGUAUUUUUAACCUGAAUAUAUAGGGUUAAAAAGGCAAACCCGGGGAACUGAAACAUCUAAGUACCCGGAGGAAAGGAAAUCAACAGAUACUCCCCUAGUAGCGGCGAGCGAACGGGGACCAGCCGAGCUGUGAAUGUGACUAGAAUCCGUUGGAAAGCGGAGCAAUAUGGGUGACAGCCCCGUAUAGGAAGCAUGAUCAGACGUAUUAAGUAGGGCGGAACACGUGAAAUUCUGUCUGAACAUCGGAGGACCACCUUCGAAGGCUAAGUACUCCUUAC
rnacentral:rRNA from 1 species